AUGUUCAGCAUCCCAGCAGGCAGAACACAUCUCUUCAGCCAGCUGGUCCCACCUGGAGGUGUCCCUGGUGAACCCAGACCUGCCCAGUUUGCCAUGCGAUGUCUCUCCUGUAUAUUUUGGCUUACCCAGUAUACGAUGCAGAACGAGGUCUUCACCCCAGGAAGGUUUGUACUAUGUGGAGGUGGCCUUUAAGGGACGUGCGAUUAACAACUUGACUGGGGUAGAGAAAGAAAACUACACUUUCAAGGUAACGACCAAGAAAGGAUAGAAGUGAUGAUGAACAGCUGAAGGCAUUGAAGGGAGUCAAAACUUCAGACUUUGUAUCACAGGAUAUGUAUUGAAAUAGUAUCUCUCAUAUUGAUUGCACGUCAGGACAUGAAGGCAAGAUGUUCCUUGUGUCCCUUCAAACUAGAUGAACCAAGGCAUUCAGUCUGGCACUGGAUAGGCUAUGAGACCUGAGGUCUUUCUGAAGGAAAAAUCUGGGUUCAAGUUAAAUUGUCUCUGUACCAAAGCCAUGCAGUCAGAAGACCAACUUGUGAAUUAUUUUUACCUUGUCUAGAAUCAUUGUCCAAGCAAUGAAUCACACUUCUCUGACUCUUGGGGCCUUACUGACAGAAUUUGUCACUUUCAACUAAACAAAUUUGUAAAGGUGUGCAUAGUCUGGCUAGCAUUGUGUACCAAAAAUUACGGGCUUAUCAAGCAAAGAUAGAUGCAGAUGAUGAAUAUCACGGCAUUUAUCUAUGUAAUGAGAAAUCAUAUCACAUCUGAAAUACCUAUGGGAAACUUCAGCUGUUGUUAUUCUCAGUCCACCUUGGUUCUGUCAGAAAUACCAGUUCAGGCCUUUCAUUAUUUCAAUUUGGAGACAAAAUCAAAAACAAGGAAUGAUACUGUGUUUUAAUGGAUUAACAAGGACUAUGGAGAGGUUGCAUUCAGCUCGAGUGACUGGAAUUACUACCUGAGACACUUUGCCCACCCUUUUGCUGACUGUAGGUGCUCACACUGUGCAGAGCAAUUGAUGCCAUCCCAGAAUCACAGGCUUGAGUAGAACAGGACAUCAGGGGUUCCAACUUCUUGCUUGAAGGGUUGGCUAUGAGAUCACAGCUAUUUUCUCAGAGCUUUAUUCAGUCAAGUCAUGAAAACCUCCAAGGAUGAAGAUUUUACAACAGCCCAGAGCUCUGCUCAGAUAUCUGACUAUCACAGAAAGGACCUCUCCAUCUCUGGGACAGCUCUCCAUACCAAAAAUGUACAGGUUUAGGAAAGCUCACACCUCAGUUCUGAUCUCAUCUCUGUUGCUGGGUUGUUUUGAGAGUCUAUAACACAUCCCCUACCACAGCAUUUUGCCUCUCAGUGUGAGAACACAUCCAUGGCUGUGUGCUUCAGGAUGAGGCCUAGUGUGUUCAGAAGUCACACCCCACCUCUGUGCGAACUUUAAGUAUCAAGCAAGAAAGCCCAGAGUUUCAGUAAAUUGCCCAUUAAAGCUGAAGAGUCAUUGGGUGGUUGAGCUAGCUUAGAGAGCUGAUGAAAAAUCACCAGGGGAUGCUGUUAAUGAGACACAUUCCAAGCUAAAUAAAACACAGUGUGUCUCUUUGUUUUGGGACUGG
rnacentral:lncRNA from 1 species